GUGGACACUUUAAGUAUGUAGCUCUAAGCUUUCUCCUAUUUCUGAAGCCCCUCUUUCCCAUUCUUUGGAUUACAGAUAUUAGUUAUCUCUCAUUGUGUUGUUUCUGUUCUGAAGAAGUUCAAGUGAUUCAAGUAUUAUUUUAGUUAUUUCAAAAUGUACAAUUAAAUUAUUAUUGACUGUAGUCACUCUGUUGAGCUAGCACAUACUAGUUCUUAUUCAUUCUUUCUAAUGAUUUUUUUUCUACCCAUUAACCUUUCCCAUUCUCCCCUCUCCUUCCACUACCCUUUCCGCCCUCUGGUAACCAUCCUUCUACUCUCAUUCU
rnacentral:lncRNA from 1 species